UUCCUUUUUAUUUUAACAGCAAAAAUCCUUUUAUUUAAAAAACAACACCUACGUUUAAUUAAUUAUGUCUUCAUAUCAAAACAUAAUGUAUCAUCCUAUCAAAACAUAGUGUAUUCAUUACGAUCAACAACUACGUUUAAAACAAACUUCAAUUGCUACAACCAAUGUUUUUAAACCCGACCCGGACACUGAACCGGACUGCUUACCGGUUUGCUGGGUCACUGGGUCGACCGCGGGUGAACCGCGGGUUAAUAAAUUAACUAAUUUUAUUAUAUAAUAAUAUCUCAGGUAUGUAAAUAAAAUUAUAAAAACUAAAGUUUAUUAUUUUCUAAAUUUUUUAAAACAUAAAAUAAUAGUUUGGAUAUGUAUAUAUUUUAUGUUUAAAAUUUAGAAAAUACUUAACUUUAGUUUUUAUAUUUUUAUUUUCAUUUGACAUACAAAAUAUCAAAAAAAUAGUUUAGACUAUUUAAAAUUUUCUCGAAUAAGAUAAGAGCUAUGACAUCUAAAAUAAAUCAAAACAUAAAAUUUAUAAAUAUUUAAAUGUAUAAUGUGAAUAAUAAAUUAAACUACAAAUACAAAAUAAACCAAAAGUAAAAAAAUCAUUGUAAUAAAUUAUCAAUAAUAGAAAUAAACUAACACCAAAUAACAUCAACUACUUUUGGUUCUCUCUACCAUCGUUCACUUUAUUUUCUUCAGGUGACAUAGUGAAAUCUUCAUCAAAAUCUAAAAAUCACAAAUAUAAAAUUGAAAAAAAAAAACAUAACUUUUUUUUUGUCAAUACCUAACAUCUUAAUUGAAAACUUAGAAUAUAAAACAAAAUUAAAAACUAUAAAAAGGAAAUAAAAGUUAUUUAUUGGUUCGACCGAUGGUUCAACCGGUACCGGAUUCCGUGUUUUACCGGGUUUUUUGCGGUUUUUUGCGGGUUUCUAAAUAUUAGGUUUUUCACAAAAUCCAAACCGAAUUUUUUUGGGUUACCGGGUUUACCGGUUCAACCGCGGGUCCGGGUCGGGUUUCAAAACACUGGCUACAACACACUUAUUUUUAUUUCUUAAACAGUCUAUGUACCAAAUCUAUCGACACCGAAGUGAAUUCUGCAAGCUGCCAAAUAAAAACAAUACAUUCUGUUAAUAUCAGUGUAUCAUCGACCAUUUAUCACGUCCAAUCAAUGUUUUGGUUACAAACACUUGCACAAAAAACAUAAAUGUUGCAUUAUUCAAAAUCUAUAAAAAAUGGUCGUAUUAUAUAUUUUUAACCUAGCAUUUUUAUAUGUAUAGUAUGAGAUACAAACAAACCCAUAAACCCCAAAUACUUUUUUAUAUUUUAAUUUAUUAAAAUAAGCAAUGUCAUGAUACCAAUCUUUUUUCAAAUCAAUCACCAUAAUAUCUAUACCAUUAAAUAAAAACGUAAAUUUAAGCAAAUAAACUAAUCAGAACAAUAAAAUUUUAUAUAAUAAAUACACAUAAUUAGAAUCCUAAACCGUAAACCACUCUGCAAUAUAGUCGACCAUACUAUUGGAUUUAUAAAGCUUUUUCAAAUCAAUAACCAAAAAUACAAACCACUAAAUCAAAAGCUAAAAAUUUAGCAAAUAAACUAGAUUUUCGAAAGUUCCAUACAUAACCAUAUCCACUAUACUAGAUCAUAAAUACCAAUCUUUUUUCAAAUCAAUAACCAUAAAUAUCUAUACCAUUAAAUAAAAAAACUAAAAUUUAAGCAAAUAAACUAAAUUUUCGGAAGUUGCUUCAUGUUUUCUUACUUGCAAAAAAAAAAAAAACAUUAUCUAAUUAUACGCGAUUCUUACUUGCAAAAAAAAAAACUCACACGCAAAAUAUUCCAAUUUCAAACUUAAAAUAUAAAACCACCAAUCUGAAAUAUAGUUAAACUCUAAUAAAAUAUAUUCUGUUUCAAAAAUAUUUUGUUAAUCAAUAACGAAGUAUAUGCCAAGUAAUAUUCUUUAUUCAUCAAAUACCAAUUAUUAACAAUCCCUUAAACCUCCUACCGAAAUAUCCGCCAUAUCCUAACAAAUUUACUGUCAAAUAACGAUAUUUACUUAGCUUAUUAACAUAAUAUACCUUAUUAUCAUUCAACUGAAAUAGCAUCCCUAAAAAUAAUCCGAAUAUUCUUUCAAAACCUAUCUAUUGUAGGCUAUAUAUAACUACCGUUGUCAAACAAUCAUCGCCACACACAAAUUUUCUUUUUUCUUUUCGAAACCGCAAAGAAACGCAAAGAACAAAGAAAAUUCUGUUCCUUUCAAAACUGAAACCUAACAGAACUGAUUGGUACAUCCAAUUGAAAGUAAUCCACACCUGGGAGCAAAUAAACUAGAAAUUUGGUGAAACGUUUUCGUUGACAAGAAGGUAUGGAUUUGGUUGGACUUGGUUGGACUUAGCCUCAUAACUUUCAUCAUCAAUCAUACAACGUGUAGACUUUGACUGUAAAAUUACGAAAAAACAUUAGUUAAAUUUGGAUUUUACAAAUAUUAAAUAUAUUAUAGUUAUUGUUUUUUUUUUGAAACACUAUUAUAGUUAUUGUAAGCGUUGAAAUUUUUAUGCCAUUGUAUGAAAACUUAUCUUUUCUCAGGUUUGUUGUUUUGUGAUAUUGGUUAGAGUCACAUGAAGAAAGCUUUGCCUAUACAAAUGUCACUGCACAGCCUGCACAUGAGUAAAUAUAUUAAAUUUUCAAACCAAAAUGAGUAAGAUCAAACAAAGAUCAUAUACCACCAUUUCAAUAUGAACGGAAAUAUAUUAUAACAAUUUGUUUGGAAAGAUGUGAGAAAAGUGGAUGAAACAAAUUCCAAAAAUAGUUAAAAAAAACUUUAGAUAUUUAUUUUUUAGUGUUUAACUACACUCGAUUAACCAACUAUAUAACGAAUAAGAGAAAUAUUUGAAAGUCUAUUGACCUGAAGUGAUUGAUGUUUCUUGAUCCUUUAACUCCGGUUCUUCGUUUUUUCUUGAGGGAUACUUUUUCAGAUCUUCUUCAGACAUAUACGAGACAAACAGAAUUAACCGACUAAUCAGAUCAUUCAUUGGAUUCGACAUGCAAACCUUAUCUGGAAAAAAAUGAUUUUUAGAUCAUAAGUAAUGGUUUCGAUGAGCCUAUGAUACAUUAAUCAAAGAAAAAUAAGUUAUUGGAGAUAUACCUUCAACCAUCUGUGUUGAUGGAUCAUGUUUCAUCAUGUUAUCAAAGCAUUUUGAGAGAGAGACGAACUCAUUUUUCUGAGGAAGCUUAUUCUGGAAAGGCAAAAAGACAGGUUGUUGUUCUGUCGGUUGGUAGUGAUGAACCAUGGGCCUGAGUGAUAUUGAAAAAUAUCAACAUAAGUUAUAAACCCAACUUACACUAACAUUUUAUUAUCCUCAUUUUGAGUUUCAGUUUGUAAAACCCAGUUGUAUUCGAUUAAUUUUUAAACAUAAAAAUGGAACUUCUUUGUUUUGUAUUAAUCAGGCCCAAGGAGUUUUUAAACAAUUUUAAAAUAAUUAUCAGAAUGGUCAAUAUAUCUAGAAUGUUUUUCCCUUAUAAUAAAUUUAAUUAAGAGCAUUUUCAAAUUGCAAAAGUAUUGUUUUAAAAUAAAUACAAUCAUCUUUUGUGUAUUAAAAUUAUACGUAAUAAAGUGUAAGUUUUGUAUACUUAUCAACAAUUAUUUUAAUUUGCAUUUCAUUUUCUUCCAACAGAAAAAUACAAGUAGCAAAAUUUUAACUUAGUUAGAUUUUAUUAUAGACAAAUUAAUAUUUCAUUUAUACAUUUAUCCUUAACAAUUAUUAAAAAUCAGUUAUUUAUCAAAUGCAAGACAUAUUUUAGAAACAAAUUUAAACCUCGACAUAUAAAUAGAGAACUUAGGGGUACUCUUUUUUUCCCCAUAUAGAUCCGAUCCAGCCGGACAGAACAUCUCUUUGAAACGACUCAGAUCCGCCUACCACUUGAUCUUAGAAGAUGGAUGUCGCCAAAAAAAAAUAGAGAACUGAAUCGGUAUACAAAUAUCCAAAACUAACCAAACCGAAUUCAAGCCCAAAUUCAUAAAUAAUCAAAAAAAAAUUAUCACUCGAACCGAACAACUAUAAACCGAAAUCAAACUGAAAACUCAAAAAAUAAAAAUAGAAGCGAACCUAAAAUUAAUACAACAAGUA